rnacentral:tRNA from 1 species
GGUUUAAUAGUCAAUUAUGAUUUUAAAUUGCAAAUUUAAAGGUGAGUAAGUUCUUAAGCCU